CUCUGCACGGUGACUCACUCCCGGGGCGCAGGGGAAGCACAGCCCCAUCGGCCGCGCCUCCUGCUCCCCGCCUCCACAUUUGCUAACCGAAACCCGACUGCUGCUAUUUUUAACCCUCCAGCUCCCCCUUGCUUGGGGCUCCCCCCUUUACCCCCACCCUCUUGCCCCAACCCGGUGGCACCACUCUGUCAUUCUGAGAGCACUUCUACAACCUGAAGGCCCCGGAGGGCUCAGCGGAUGCCCCGGACAUGCAGCUUUCUUCUUCUCCAGCGGAGGUGUAGCACCCUGAGGUCAGAGGCCUGCCUCUGUGCCCACCGCACGCCUGUGCCCAGUGUAUGGCAAGCCUAACAAAUGGAUGGACCGCUGAGUGGCCAGCUUGGCAAAUG